CAGGCUUUCUUUAAGGGACCGCGGCGUUGUUGACGACUGUCUUCAGAUUGACGAGUCGAAUUGCCCGCGACGGUGAACGCGCUGUAAAUCGCCGCGGUCCCUGCGCUGCCCCCCGGCAAACUCGACUGGUUGCGCGGCCUCCCGCAGGCCUCUCGCAGGAGACCUCGCAGGUGUCACAGGCUGUGUCUCGCCCGUGGAGGACAUUAUGAGCCGUGCAGCACCGAGGCCAAAGGAUGCAAUCCAGGCCCUGUGCCGGCUGCUCUCCAGCCUCGGGCUUGGCACGGUCAGCCCAGAAACAAUUUCGGCAAGCCAAGUAUGACCGACCAGAGAGUGUACCUGUAUUCUGGUUUCUCCUGUCCCGGGUGCUUGUGUGCACCACGGGCGAUGCUGCUGCUGCGGUGGUGGAGGAGAACAGGAAUAUGGAAAUGACAGCGCUGGACCGGAAGACACCUGAUGAUGUCAUCUCCAAUGUGAAGGCUGGGCUGCUGCAUCAUGGUUACGUGGCCCCUGAGAUCUUCCAGCUGGGGCGAGCCCAGCAGCUGGGUUCUCUGGAGCUGCUCCUCGCAUUCUCAUGGCUUCUUCACACCACCCACUUCCCGGUUCGCCUCCUGACCCAGGGUGCUCUGCAACUUGACGAUGGUGCCAUGAAAUUGUUUCCUGAGCUCGCAAACGGUGACCUGCCCGGUGAGGAGCGGGUGGCGCCUGCGUCCCGUUGAUGGCGCCCCGUUGCCCAAGGAUGGCGUGCACUAUGCGCUGUGGCUCAUGGGGAAGCUGCGCUUGCGAGUGCGGGCGCUGCACAGUGCGCGCCAGCAGCUCUGCACCCUGCUGCACCGUGUACACUCCACAUGCAGGCAGCCACACCAACCUGGCAAACACCUCUCCGGCGCCGAGGCAUACCUGCUGAGACACCCGAAUAGACUGACGCAGGUCCUGCAGCAGCUUGGAGAAGAAAAUGCCAGACUGGAGGCCUUCAUUGAGUGGAGGAAUGUGGAGCCUGCUUUCUGGCAGUGGAUGGAGAGUGUUGUGGAAGUGAAGCUGAUUCAGCUAGAGCAUCGGGGUCGUUGCCCCAGCUCAGCUGUGCCGUGUCACCGGGGGACGGAGGGGGUGCGGGAUAUGGCCCUCGAUUCUCGGCUCGGCUCGGUGAGCGAGAGUCUCGCGAGGAUUGAAAGAGAUGUACGCUGCGCGCUGUGGCCCAAUCACGCUACGUGGCUCAGUGAGGAGAGGCGACUGCUGCAGUGCGGUACUGCACCAUCAGCCCGUGCGAGAUCUCGCCGAGUCAGCACAGCAGGAGGCGAGCGCGGUGGUGCGAGCUCUGCAGGCUCCAGCCCAGCGGCUCACCGCCACCUUGCUGCUUCUGCACCUGCCCUUCCACCUACAUCUGAAGCAGCAGAAGCAGCUGCAGAGACAGCACCGGGGCGGGCACCGGCAGGAGAGAGAAAGCGGCGCGAUGGGGACGCCAGAGUUGGCGUUGUGGGAGGCGACGCGUGAGCUGGGCGGGCAUCUCACCCGCCUGCGUGCCUCGCUGAGGCAGCAGCACAGGCGUUGGCGGGAGAGGCUGGAGGCCAUGCUGGACGGCAAGGAGAACAUCGUGUCACUCCCGCCGCCCCACUCACACCACCGGAUAGGUGGAGGCGGAGGCUGUGGGACGAAGACGAGAAAGGACAGAUGCUGUCAGCGACGUAAGUGUUGGUUGAGGCAAUGCAAAUGAGCUACCAGUGCCUCUGCUCUGCAGAAUCAAUAACAUGGAGCAGAGACACCCGGCGCAUUCCGGCACUAAGAGACACAAAUGUGACCAGUGUUCAUAUAGCACGGAUCACUCUGGCAACAUGAAGAAUCACCAGCGAACACACACGGGCGAGAAACCAUUCCAAUGCCCUGUGUGUGGGAAGGCAUUUUCACAGCCAUCAGCUCUUCACAAUCACCAGAAAACACACACGGGAGAGAAGCCCUUCCAGUGCACUGUGUGUGGGAAGGCAUUUGCACGCUUAUCACAUCUUCACAGACACCAGAGUACACGCACGGAUGAGAAGCGCUUCGAGUGCACUGUGUGUGGGAAGGCAUUUACACGAUCAGGAGAUCUUCGCAGACACGAGAAAACACACACAGGCAAGAAGUUAUUGAAGUGCACUGUGGAUGGGGAGGCAUUUACACAGUCAUACAUUCACAAUCACCAGAAAAUGUACACGGGUGAGAAGCCAUUCAAGUGCACUCUGUGUGGGAAGACAUAUACACGGUCAACACUUCUACGCAAUCACCAGAGAACACACACAGGAGUGAAACCUUUCAAGUGCACCAAGUGUGGGAAGACAUUUACAAUGUCAGGAAAUCUUCACAGGCACCAGAAAACACACACAGGUGAGAAGCCAUUUAAGUGCACUGUGUGUGGGGAGGCAUUUACAAGGUCAUCACAUGUUCGCAAUCACCGUAGAAUACACACAGGUGAAAAGCCCUUUAAGUGCACUGUGUGUGGGAAAGCAUUUGCAUGGUCAUCGGUCCGAAACAAGCAUCAGAAGAUCCACAAAGAGAGGAAGGUGAAAUCGAAAUGUAAAAGUCAAGGUUGUGCAAUGACCUCAUCUUUUGUGAAAAACGAGAAGAAAUUACCAGCUUCAUAACCUGGCCAGGCAUGGAGGUGAAAUGUGAAGAUGAUUUGACUGUUGUGAAAAAAGAGCCAGAAGAACAUUCCAGCUUCUCAACCUGGCCAGGGGUGGAGGUCAAAUGUGAAGAUGAUUCGACUCGUGUGAAAAAAGAGCCAGAAAAAAAUUCCAACUUCACAACCUGGCCAGAAGUGGAGGUAAAAUGUGAAGAUGAUUCGGCUCUUGUGAAAAAAGAAACAGAAAAUUCAAGCCUCACAACCUGGCAAGGAGUGGAGGUGAAAUAUGAAGAAGUUUAGACUCCCAAGACCUGACCUCCAGUUUCAUGCAGGCAGUGUGAAGCAGGAUAAUAAUGUGGACUCUGAGGAAGAGUGAGAUGACCCCCUGCAGUUACUGGUUGUGGAGGUGUGUGGGUGGAAAAUCAUGGAUGAUGCAGAAUAGGAGCAGCCAGCAUUGUGGACCCUGGGAUGUGGGUAAAUAUGUAACCAGGAGACCAAGUUGAAGAAGUUACACUGUUCACGGUAUUCAUAUACUUAUUUAAUAGCACAAUAAUUACUUUUAUUGCCACAACACAAUUGGGGUUUUCAGAAAAUGAAGCCUGACAGAAACUCGAGGAAUAGUCGUUGACACAAGGAACAUUCCUCAUGCGACCCUCAACAGCCGGGCACAUUUUGAUUUAAAGCUUUCGUGACUGCAGUAAUUCAUAUUCUUAGUUUUUUCGGUAAAGUCACGUUGAAGAGAAACAACAAAAUAAUAAAAUAUAUAUAAAACAAUAAAAAAUUCUCACGACGUUUCGACCAUAACUCAAACGGUCAUCUUCAGGUGUGUUGGUUUGCAUAAAUUUAUUUUAAACGGCGCAUUUAUUUAUUACGAAAGCCAAUGGAAAAUGUAAUAUAACCCAGAUUUAUGCCUCAUCUCCAAACACAAGAAUGGACAACCACUAACUGCUUUGCGAUCAAUUUUAGCCAAUUUUAUAAAGAGCCAACACAGACCAGUGGUCACACAUUGGAUUACUGAUACCAGUCAUAACCUCAAAAUCAUGCCCACCUAACUUUUGGAAGGUCAACUGGCCUGGCUACAAAAAAAUAUAACCAAAGUGCAAUUGAACAACCUGGAGCCAGAUCCUGAAAACUUUGAAGUUCAGCAAUUCUUUUUUAUAUCUGCUGCAAAAAAAACACCCGAAGAGGGUUUCGGAAAAGCUACACACCAUGUUCGUAGCCAAAAUAGAACAUCUCUUGAGAGAGUUCAACAACUUGUGACCAAAAUAAGCACACCACACUACUGGAGUCCUUAAAUUGUGUGCAAAGAAAACGUUGGGAAGGGCGUCACUACAGAUUUUGACAUAAUUCAAUCCAGCCGUAAAGCCUGGCAGCUCCUUCGUAGGAACCUAGGUACCUAAAACGAACAGCACAGAUAGCAAAAAAUAACAGCGAAUGCUGCUUUCUAAGAUGCUGUCCUGCUCAAAAACUGUUUUGAGGAAGUUGUCCUCCCGCAUCUCCCAAUUAUCUCGGCUGGCUACUUAAUGGUUCGAAAGAAGUUCAACAUACAAUGUAAUGUAUAACUUGUAAUACUGCAUAUGGCCACCAUGGGCAGUACGUAGCCAUGUACAGGGUGCUUCAAAAUGUUUGUUAGCACUUGUAUGGGACUAUCGUUUUUAAUGGGAAAAUAACGGAUAAUACACUAACAUGAUAACAAAUGUAUGUUAAUAGCUUCAAAGAGUCUCCACUUGUUCGCCAUCAUUGUCAACAUGCCUGAAAUAUUGUCCAGGUGGUGUCCAGAAUCCGGAGGGACAUUCUUGUGGUAUUGUUGCAAAUUCUCGGAAGUGUUAACAUUUUUAGAAGCACCCUGUAUUUUACUAAAAAUGCGUAACGUAAAAAAGACUAGUGAAUCAUAACGGCUGCAUGUGGCAGGAAACCUGAGUUCCCAGUGAAAACCCCUGUUUAUGAGAGGUGCCACUCCACGAUAACCGUUUAACUUUUAAUUUGAAUCCCUGUAAUGGAAAUUAUAUACGCAUGUGUGUUAAAAUGCAUCAUUAAUGUUUUUGUUUAUACAUGUUUCCAUGAUAUGAAAAACAAAAGUAAUGUGUUCAACAAGUCAUCCAGGAGCAACGCAAUUCACUCCGACAGCAAAUGUACAUUUAUUACAUUCAUUGUUGUCAAGUGUUGAUGUUUAUUUCCUUAAUUAAAUUGUGUUGGAGAGUGUUAUGGAAACAAUAUAAUGAGGUUCAAAGUGAUGUUUAAUGAUGGUACAAUUGGUGAGCUGUGUUGGGGGUGCUGGAGAGAAGAGCCUCAAGAAUCUGG